rnacentral:misc_RNA from 1 species
AAGAUUCGGGGCUUCGGCCUAACCUCUCUUCAGCUGUGCGCUUCGGCUGCACGCUGUUAGAAAACCUCUCACACCUGUGCACCUUUUCGGUUGCGGCGUUAACGCGUCGCUUCCGCUAUACAUAUAACUACAAAGUCUAGAAUGUUUAAACUAUAAUAAUAAAA